UGGUUCUGCCUGUGAACAGAACAACUCGACUCUUGGCCCGAGAGAGAGAUUCAUGAAAGAACUUGGGUCUUGAAUAUCAUUAGAGUCGUGGAUGUUGUCAACAAAGAAGGGACUCAUCGAGCUGCAACGAUACAUGCAAACUUGGAGUUUCGCGUAACACUGCAUAUGAAGGGCACAUAUUUCCUCUGCCUGAGAAAGAGAUUCGCGAAAGAACUUGUGUAUGCAAUAAUCCGCUCUCUUAUAUAUUAGUAAAGGCAACACGACACCUCUCUUACACCAGAAUACCAUCUUAGCAUUUGCUAAUGAGUAGCCUGUCCAAAAUCCAAUUGCAGAUGAGCAUUGGAACUAUUAGUAAGUCGCCUCACAUCACAAAGCUAAUGGAGCAAAGGGAACUAUUUCCAGGAAUCAAACGUAUUCCACUGGAGUCGGAGUGGGAGCUAGAGUUGUGUGAAUUAGAAUCAAAGUUGUCAAAAAAGAUGAACAUGCAUAUCUUUUGCUU